CAGUAGCCACGGUAAUACGGAGGAUCCAAGCGUUAUCCGGAAUCAUUGGGUUUAAAGGGUCCGUAGGCGGUCUUGUAAGUCAGUGGUGAAAGCCCAUCGCUCAACGGUGGAACGGCCAUUGAUACUGCAGGACUUGAAUUAUUGGGAAGUAACUAGAAUAUGUAGUUUAGCGGUGAAAUGCUUAGAGAUUACAUGGAAUACCAAUUGCGAAGGCAGGUUACUACCAAUUGAUUGACGCUGAUGGACGAAAGCGUGGGUAGCGAACAGGAUUAGAGACCCGAGUAGUCCCUGUCUCUUAUAC
rnacentral:rRNA from 1 species